rnacentral:rRNA from 1 species
UACGUAGGUGGCAAGCGUUAUCCGGAUUUAUUGGGCGUAAAGGGAACGCAGGCGGUCUUUUAAGUCUGAUGUGAAAGCCUUCGGCUUAACCGGAGUAGUGCAUUGGAAACUGGGAGACUUGAGUGCAGAAGAGGAGAGUGGAACUCCAUGUGUAGCGGUGAAAUGCAUAGAUAUCACGCAGAACUCCGAUUGCGAAGGCAGCGUACCGGCAUCCAACUGACGCUGAGGCACGAAAGCGUGGGGAUCAAACAGG